AAAAUUAUGAAAUCCAUCGGGAUCGAUGUACGGUUCCGUAACCACGUGUAAACAUAAUGGCUUCCUGCGACGUUUUGUACAUCCUCAGAAAAAGAUUCAGGUGCAUAAAUUGUCAACGAGUCUUCGAAUUCUGGCUCUGAUUUUGAUGAAUAUGAUUCUGACAGCGAACAUUCAUUUGGUAGCGAGACGGAUGUAGUGAUGAUGAUACCGAAUCAACAUUGUUUGAAUUUGACACAGAUAUUUAUGAGAAGUGAUGAAGAUGGCUACUGUUAUGAUUAUUGGCUUUUUAUGGAAAAGUGCAAUUUUUUUUUUCAUGGAAGAUCACAAGGAAAAAGAGUUGUCAAACACUUGUGCAGACUUUUCAAAUUCAAAGGUCACCAUGUGUUCCUUGACAGGUUUGUGUUUAAAACAAUUAAUAUUAUAAAUAUAAGACUGGGAAAUUAUACUUUUUAAAGAACAUUUUAUUUCAUUCUUAUAUGUCUCAUGCAAUUUCAGAUUAUUCAUAUCCAUUUCCCUGGUAAGAGCUCGGCUUUACAAUGGGAUUUUCGGCUGUGGAGCUGUAAAGAAUUACUAGGGUUUCCAAUGUAGUUACAGAAUCCAGAAAAAAGAAGAGAAGAGACAAUGCAGAUGCAACAUGACCAAUUAUUUGCCACUGCUUAAAAGAUGAGAAAAUGGUACAUGCUUUGAGUACUGCUUUAAGGCUAUUUGGAGACAGACCAGUUGUUCUUUGCACCAGGGGUGAAAAUUUCAGUGCUUGUUAAAUUUUCUCCAGAACUUAUCGGACACCACAGAGGAAGAAAAUGGGUUCAUACUGCACAGAAUAGUUUGGAAACACCUCAUAUCUUUUGAAAGCUUGAGCCCUCAAAGUCAACCUGGAGAUGGUGUACCAAACAUGGAGAAAUAAAAAGAAAAAAGACAGUUUAUGAUUGAAGAAGCUUGCGAAGUGACCAAUAUUUUAGGGUAUUUUGUACAGAUGUUAACUUGUAAGAUCUUAUUGGUACAUGGACAUAAACAUUAUUAACAUGUUAGUUAAUGUGUAUCAUGUAUCGCUUGCAGGAAUACACAAAAAUUCAGAGUAAAUUAUCAGUGUUUGCUAUGUUAGAUAAGCUCAAAGAUCAAAGUCAACAGUGCUUUAGUUUUACCAAAUAUACCAAUGUUAUAAAGACCAAUUUCCUGUAUACAGGCAUAGCAAAUAAUUCAGAAUGUAAUUUGGGAAGCUGUGAUUUUUUUUUUUUUUUAAUCUUAUCUUAAAUUUAGAACCCUGAUGUAUACUCAAACAAGUAGAAUUUUUUCAAGCGUACAAAAUUUCAAGGUCAUUUUAAUUUUGGAAGUGAAUAUAAAAUAUCAGGAAGCAGUCAAACAUUGAAAAUUUUUUGUUGUUGAAUGUACUUAGUUAAUGAAUAAUAUUCAACUUUUAAUCUGCAAUGAAUUAAAAAAAUUAGAGAUGUCCUAGUUUGCUGAUUUUUAAAACUUGGUGUUCAUUCAUUUUGAGUUUGUUGCCAUGACAAGAUGUCUGUCAAGCAAAUGG